rnacentral:sRNA from 1 species
UUUCUGCUCUCCGCCCGUGUGGAGUGGUGGGGGCCUGGGUGGGAAUGGGCGUGUGCCAGCGCACGCGCGCUCCCUGGAAGGAGAGGUCUCAGCUAGAACGAGCGGCCCUAGGUUUUCGGAAGGGAGGAUCAGGGAUGUGGAGGAGCCGCCGCCCCUCUGUCACCUGGAGCAACUGUGGCGCUGCUCCUCCCCGCUGGCCCAGAGUUUCUGUGGCUCUGGUUCGGGCUGGCCAAGGCCGGCCUGCGCACUGCCUUUGUGCCCACCGCCCUGCGCCGGGGCCCCCUGCUGCACUGCCUCCGCAGCUGCGGCGCGGGCGCGCUGGUGCUGGCGCCAGAGUUUCUGGAGUCCCUGGAGCCGGACCUGCCCGCCCUGAGAGCCAUGGGGCUCCACCUGUGGGCUGCAGGCCCAGGAACCCACCCUGCUGGAAUUAGCGAUUUGCUGGCUGAAGUGUCCGCUGAAGUGGAUGGGCCAGUGCCAGGAUACCUCUCUUCCCCCCAGAGCAUAACAGACACGUGCCUGUACAUCUUCACCUCUGGCACCACGGGGCUCCCCAAGGCUGCUCGGAUCAGUCAUCUGAAGAUCCUGCAAUGCCAGGGCUUCUAUCAGCUGUGUGGUGUCCACCAGGAAGAUGUGAUCUACCUCGCCCUCCCACUCUACCACAUGUCCGGUUCCCUGCUGGGCAUCGUGGGCUGCAUGGGCAUUGGGGCCACAGUGGUGCUGAAGUCCAAGUUCUCGGCUGGUCAGUUCUGGGAAGAUUGCCAGCAGCACAGGGUGACGGUGUUCCAGUACAUUGGGGAGCUGUGCCGAUACCUUGUCAACCAGCCCCCGAGCAAGGCAGAACGUGGCCAUAAGGUCCGGCUGGCAGUGGGCAGCGGGCUGCGCCCAGAUACCUGGGAGCGUUUUGUGCGGCGCUUCGGGCCCCUGCAGGUGCUGGAGACAUAUGGACUGACAGAGGGCAACGUGGCCACCAUCAACUACACAGGACAGCGAGGCGCUGUGGGGCGUGCUUCCUGGCUUUACAAGGAGAGCCAAUUCGGGACCCCCGGGGGCACUGUAUGGCCACAUCUCCAGGUGAGCCAGGGCUGCUGGUGGCCCCGGUAAGCCAGCAGUCCCCAUUCCUGGGCUAUGCUGGCGGGCCAGAGCUGGCCCAGGGGAAGUUGCUAAAGGAUGUCUUCCGGCCUGGGGAUGUUUUCUUCAACACUGGGGACCUGCUGGUCUGCGAUGACCAAGGUUUUCUCCGCUUCCAUGAUCGUACUGGAGACACCUUCAGGUGGAAGGGGGAGAAUGUGGCCACAACCGAGGUGGCAGAGGUCUUCGAGGCCCUGGAUUUUCUUCAGGAGGUGAACGUCUAUGGAGUCACUGUGCCAGGGCAUGAAGGCAGGGCUGGAAUGGCAGCCCUAGUUCUGCGUCCCCCCCACUCUUUGGACCUUAUGCAGCUCUACACCCACGUGUCUGAGAACUUGCCACCUUAUGCCUGGCCCCGAUUCCUCAGGCUCCAGGAGUCUUUGGCCACCACAGAGACCUUCAAACAGCAGAAAGUUCGGAUGGCAAAUGAGGGCUUCGACCCCAGCACCCUGUCUGACCCACUGUACGUUCUGGACCAGGCUGUAGGUGCCUACCUGCCCCUCACAACUGCCCGGUACAGCGCCCUCCUGGCAGGAAACCUUCGAAUCUGAGAACUUCCACACCUGAGGCACCUGAGGGAGGGACUCUGUGGGGUGGGGGCCAUUGCAGGUGUACUGGGCUGUCAGGGAUCUUUUCUAUACCAGAACUGCGGUCACUAUUUUGUAAUAAAUGUGGCUGGAGCUGAUCCAGCUGUCUCUGACCUAC